AAAAGUGGCGGGGGGGUGGGGUGGGUGCUCAGUGGUAGAGCCAUUGGGCUCAAUCUCCAGAUCCCAGUGCCUGGGACCUACCCGACAGCAGCAGGCCUUCGUACUGGGACUGAGUAUAACGUGGAGGCAGGUGGAGCCCUUGCCUGGCAGCCAGUGGGCCGAGGCCAUGAGCAGGAACAGCACCCUCAGCCGGUGGGAAGAUGCGUCCCUCCCCCUGGGCCUCCGGAAGCCCAUGUGGCGGGGCUGCACACGGCACACAAAGCCCCGGAGUCCCGGGAGGGACCGCUCACAGGGAGCAGGCGAGCUGUGCUGGCGUCUCAUCUCCGCAGCAGGACCCGCGGCAGCACCCAGGCCCAGUCCCUCAAAGCCUGGCGCCCAGCACGGCAGCGAGUGGCAUCUGAAUAGUUCCCUUUCCCUUGCUGCUGGAUGCAGAGAUGGACCCCGUGUCCUGCAAGCCCCUGUACCCUGUCCUCACAGCUUCCCCAUGGGGUCCCCACCUGCACACUGCCAGGCCUGCUCGGCUGCCAGGCAAGGACCCUCAAAGCACCCGGGAGGCCGGAAGCACAGCCCCUCACGCAGGGCCCUUUCUGCUGACUGCUGGUGACCACAGGACAAGCGGGGUGCAGAGUGGCGGCUCCCCUGCACCCGUCACCCACCCUAAGGUGCCCGCCAGGGAGACAGACAGUGAUGCGUGCAGAAAGGGGCUUGGAUGAGUGCAGCGGUCCGGAAGAUGGCCGCAUACUCAGCCGGGCCCCAGCCACGGCGUGCAGCUCAAUGGGGACGACACAGGGAGGGCGGGGGAUGCCGACUGCCUGCUCAGUGACCUCUGGGUCAUCAGAGAAGUCACCGCUGGGGAAACCCCCCAUUCCCUCAAGGGGACUGCUCCUGCCUGGGUGUGGGGAGCCCAUGGCCAGGCACUGCAAGGGUGGGGCCACUAAUCCGCAGGCCGAGGGUUGCCACUGCAUGCUUCUGCACGCAGCGCCAGGCUCAGGACAAGGCACAGUGACAGCAGCCGUUGACAGUCAGCUGAAAAUACUGUUAGAGCCGUCUGUGUCCUCGGCCAUGAGCGGGCAACCAGGCUGGCACGGGCAUCUUCCUGAUCAGCGGCCCCAGGAAGACGCCUGAGAGAAGUCAGCUCUGCCAGGGAGGCUGGCGAGGGCCCUGGGGCAGGGCCAGGGAGAAGGAGGAGGAGCUACACCUGACCUGGGGCUGGACCGGAAGAGCAGGGGACCUGGCUGGGAGGACCCCAAAGGAAGGGGGUGCAAAGGAGGAGUCCUGGAUGCUGCGGGACCCCAGGGUCCCCUGUCAGUCCCUAAGGUGGGAGAGCUGGAGGGGGGACCCUAAGGAAGAGGGGGCAGACCAGCCAGAUGAGGGACUGGGGGCAGGAACAGAGGGCCACAGUGAGGACUCAGGAGAGGACAGGCGGGUGGGCAGCAGAUAAAGUUGCGUCAGGCUGGGAACCAGAGCUGGCCUCGCCCCCGGGUGGCUCUGGGUCUGACUCAAGGGAUGGCAGCCGUCAGGAGAGGCCAUGGGACAGGAUGGAGCGGCUUAGCUGUGCACCCAGGCAGGGACAGCCGUGGGCAUGGGGCAGACCUGGAGGAGGAGGCCGGCGCUGGGAGCCAGCAGAGUUGCACUGCGGCCUCGGAACCCUGGUCCAUGCUCAACACAGCUAUGGAUUGCACAGCACCCCAUUUGACCCCCCGGAGUGGAGCUGCCAGGCCUGCCCAGGGGACCGCCGGGUGAGGGACACCUGUCACUGUCCCUGCCACAGUCCCACCCUGAGGCAGAGCCUGUGGCUGGAGCUGCCCCAGACGAGGUACCGGGCGCACUUUUGCCUGCAGGAGGGAGAGGGAGGGUGCUGCCUGGGUGUGCAGCAGGAGCCCCGCACCCCCUUUCCAAAGAGGCAGCACCUGUUUGGGAGCUGAGGAGCCUGCCCGGGGAGGGGGCAGGCCACCAUCUGGGCAGAGCCAAGCACAGAGCCCUCCCGCCCCACCCUGCUGGACCAACUGCCACAGAGGCUGGGCUGGGCCGAGCCGGUGCUGGGGUCCUGGCCGUCACCUCCAAGGCCUCUCCCCAAAGCCACUGUGCCAGGUAGGAGCCAGUCCCCGAUGCCUGUGGAGGAACUGGGGAGGCUGAGGCAGCACUGCCGCAGCACCCUGCGCUGCAGAGCCACACAGGACCUGGGCAGGGGAGAAGGGACGGGCAUGCGUGUGGCUCUGGCCAGGUCCUCAGGCCUAAGCAGCCUCAGUCCCCCAAGCCAGCGAGUCCCCAUGCAGCAGAUGACACCGGAGGCCCUCAGUGCUACCCCUGGUUGAAGCCGUCUCCUCAGCCAUGACUCCCUCUGCACCAUGUAUACACCCCAUUGCCAGCGAUGGGGCGCUGUCCUCCCAGGAAGAGACCCAGGGGCCCUGGGCACUGUGCCUUCCUUGCUGGGUCCUGGCCCAGGUCCCCCAGCAGCACAGCAAGGGCAGGUGGCUUUACAGGCCCCAUCUUGUCCCCUUGACACUGACAAGCCCCUUGCAGGUGCAGGAGAAAGAGGCUGCACAUCAAGCCUACCUUCCUGGGCCUCCAUGCCCUGUCCCCAUGCAGAGGGGACAGUGCCCAGGGCAGGGAACUCAGCCCUCGCCGGAAGGACAGGCAGCCUGGCUGAUGCAGGAGCGGCUGCAAGCCCAGGGGGAGGACAACACCAUGCUGAUCUCCAUGGCGUCCUCCAGGUGGAAGGGAGCGGCCCCUAGGGGAGCAAGGCCCGCUCCCCACAGGCUCUUCGUUCCUUCCUGCACUUCCUCCUGGAGAACUCCCGUCUGCCUUUCUGUUAGCCCAGCCUGGUGACCACGGCUCCUCCGUUUCUGUCCCUGUAACCCCUGUGUUUUGCCCUGGUGUUGAGGACACUGUCACUACUCGUGACGUCCGGACGGGGAUCCUGAGGACCUCUUGGAAGACAUCACCCCAGUGUGUUCUGGCCCUCGUCUCUGUCUCGUGUCAUCUCCUCGCUGUGGGUCUCCACUGUGGCCUGGGUAUGGACCAAGGCUGUCAGGCCGAGUGAGUGCCGGCCAAGGUGAAUGGCAGCCCCAGGGGUUGGGGUGCUGGAAACCUGGUCCCCACGGUGGCCUGGCAAGAGGUGGGAGCCCUUUCAGAAGUGGAGCCUGGUGCAAGGUCGGCGGGGCUGUGUCCUCCGCAGUAGUCAGGGUCGUUCCUGUGGAGGCCCUGGCAGGUUCUCAAAAACAAGGGAGUUUCCGACUGUGGUGGCUCACGCCUGUGAUCCUAGCACUGGGGAGGCUGAGGCAGGAAGAUCGUCAUGAGUUCAAAAGCAGCCUGGGCUACACAGAGACUUCGUCUCAAAAGAACAAAAAUAGCUUUAUUGAUUCAGUGGACUCUCGAGUUAUGACCAGGCUGACAUACGAACAACUUGGGUUACAACUGGAUAUACUAGGAAAAUUAUUGGUGUUUCUGGUAAGUUAGGAACAUUAUAUAACACUUUUUGUAUUAUAUAAAGGUUAGGGUGCUUUGGGAGGUUCGGAACACAUGGGUAUUCCCACUGUUUCUUAUGGGAAAAAUUGUCUUGAUUUAUAACCAGCUUGAGUUACAGUCAGCCCUGGAAAACGAAUUGAGUUCAUAAGUCAAGGGACCAGCGUGUAUAAUUUACAAACUGCAGUUGCCUUGCAGCCUAAGUCCCAUGGUUCUCACUGCGUCCACACUGUGUCCUCCUCACCACACCCUGUGUGUGACAUUCCCGUGAGAAACUCACCUCGAAGGAACUCCAACCCACCAGCAGUCGCUCCCAGCCCUCCUCUGUGGCCUGUCCUCUGCUGUGGGCGGCCGCGGAUCUACACACCUGCCAGUUCUGAUGUUUCGUGAAAACAGAGUCCUGUGUCCCAGCAUCUUUUGUGACUGGUUUCUUUGCUUAGCAUGAAGUUGUUUUUUGUUUUAUGAUUUGGGUAUGUGGGGGAGGUGAGCCAGGGUCUCGCUAUGUAGCUCGGCCUAGCCUUGAACUCACUAUGUAAUCCAAGCUGGCCUUCAAUUCCAGGCAAUCUUCGUGCCUCAGCCUCCUGAGUGCUGGGAUCACAGGCGUGCACCACCACACCUAGCUUGGCUAUCUUUUUAUAUGCUUACUCCCAUUUUACUUUCUUUCUUUUUUUUUCUUUUGUGAGACAGGGCCUCGCUGUGUAGUUCAGGCUGAGUUUGAACUCACUGUGUAGCCCAGACUGGCCUUGAACUCGUGGUGAUCCUCCUGCCUCAGCCUCCUGAGGUCUGGGAUUACAGGCCUGUGCCACCACGCCAGGCCUACAUCUUCUCUUAAAGGUCUCUUCAACAUCUUUGCCCAUUUAAGAAUUGUUUUUGUUGUUUUGUUUUGUGAGGAUUGAACCUUCAUACUGGGCAACGCCCUGAGCCCUUUUUUUUUUGGUACCGGGGAUCGAACUUGGGUCCUUGCGCUUGUGCAGCAGACGGCGAAACCACUGAGCUAAAUCCCCGGCCCCCUGAGCCCUUUUUCAGUUUUUAUUUUGAGACAAGUUCUCACUAAGUGGCUAAAUUGCCCCAGUAGGACUUGAACUUGUGAUCUCCUGCCUCUGCCUCCCACGGUGCUGGGAUCAUAGGCAGGCGCCCUGACUUGGUUGGAAGUUGGUCGCCUAUCUCUCUCCCUGUCCUGCCAGUGUUCCCUAGGUUCCGGUCGAGUUCCUGACAGGAAUGUGUUGGGCCAGCCUUCCUCAUUUGCUGGCCAUCUUUGCACGGAAGGGAGGGAGGGAGGGAGGGAGGCCCAGUGCCCUGAGAGGUGCACUGUGAGCUGCUGCCCUGCCAGGGGCUGCUGCACCAGUACCUGGAGUUGGUAGAAGACGCUUCAGGCUGGCACUCCCCUGCCUCACGCCCUGAAGCACUUGGCGCUCUGGGUGGGGCUGGAGUGGAGGGAUCAGAAAGUGGGGAGGACUGGAGACACCAGGCAGCUUGGGGCGCCCCCAGCAUCCUCCCAGGCUCAGGCCCGAGAGAUGCCCUGGCCGGGUGGAGGGCUGUGCCCAUGGCUUGAUGCCGGAACGGGUCGGGGCUUUAUGAGGGCAGGGCCUGCAGCGCAGAAGGGAAAAGACGGCCAGGGAUGUGGCUCAGUGAUGCUGUGCCUGCCUUCCAAGCAAAGGUCCUGAGUUCAAUACCAGGUACCAAAAAAAAAAAAGAAGUGAAAAGAAUCUUGGUUUAGCUCUAGUCUAGUAAGCACUGUGUCUGAACCAAACAAACAAUCCUGAGCUUCCUGGCAGCCAAAGCAAAAAGGGUGAUGGUAGUGGCAUCGUUCUAUGGAUAAAAGUGAGCAGAAAAGUCCAGGUGGAGAGCGAACUUGCCAGUGUGUGUCCCGCUCCACCGGACGUGGACAGCGGGACCUGAUGCUCUCCCUAGCGAUUUUGCAGUAGACCCGGGAACGCCUUGCACAGAGCAGUUUCCUGUAAGCUGCCCCCAGAGGGGUGAGAGGAGAAUCUGGCCGGGAGCCCAGCGCCCAGGACCAGCAGGCUGUCCAGGCACCAAGCAGGGUCUCCCGCCAGUUGAGCAAUGUGGAGAGUGUGCCCUCAGCCUGGGGACACCCCUGGCCGCUAUGGGACAGGGAAGCCACCUCUAACCCCUUCCACCCUUCCAGACUGAACCUGGGCACAAGGACCCGAAUUCGAUCCCUGGUACCAAAACAAAACAAAGCACAGAGAGAGACCUUUGUUAGUCAUCUGUUUAUCAGGUUUAUUGGUGUACCUUGUGAACCUGUGUGGUGCAGUGUUUUCGAACACACCGCCUUCCUCGAGUUCAUUUUUCCUCUUGCUCUGUGCUGUGGUUUUCUGGGGGCAGGGUGGGCUGCAGGGCCAGGUGGGGCACCUUGUGGCUGGGGUGGGCUCCAGCACUCUGCUGUCCUGCAUAGCCACUCUGCUCUCCCACCCAGUCCUGCAGUCACCGGGAGGCCACUCUGGGCGUUUGUCUUCCAUUCCAUUUUUUUUUUUGGUAUUAGGGAUCAAACUCAGGACCUUGUGCUUGCAAUGCAGGUGUGGCGCCGAGCCACAUCCCUGGCUGGGGACUGGAAUCUUCCAUUCCACCACGUGGUGUUCUCCAUCAGGCGCGUCUUGGCCUCCUGGUGCCUGACAUCCCAGAGGCCAUGGCUAUGAAGGUAAAGCAGGAGCACCUGCAGGCCAGCCCUCGGCUCAUGGCCACCGGGGCCCAGUGGCCUCCUGUUCCCUCUCGGAGGCCACAGCAGGGUCACCGGCCUGCCUGGAGGAGACUGAACACCAGGGGCAGCUCACCACUCACUCAGGGCCCACAGCCCCUGCCCCUCACUCCUCCUAGAAGCCCGGGCCCUGCUCCUACAACCUGCUUUCCCUAUUGGACUCCUCUCGGGGUCCCCAAGGCCAGGUAUCUGGUGGCCUUUGGGGGCUGAUCCUGCUACCCCCACCCAUGCCCCACCUCAUGAGGACCCUGUCUGAAAUGCUGGGUUUGGUGGCCCUUGCCUGCCUGGCUGCUCUGCUCAUGAGCCUGUCCUCCCUGGGCCUCAGUCCCCAGCUUCUCACCCCCUAGCAGGGCCCCAAAUCUCAGCCCAGGGGUCCCUGUCCACACUGACCAAGAGGAGGCUGUCUCCCUGGCCACACAGGCUUGUGAACCCUCCACUCGGACAUGACUCUUCUGCCAGUCUGGCUGUAGUGGGCUGACUAACAGUCAACUUGUAACGCCCAGCUGAACUGAAUCAGCGUGGCCUGGGCAUGGAAGACCCACCUGAAGAUUGUUAACAACAGCCAUAAAAAGAGAGCUGGAGGGGAGGAUCUUGGCCUGUUGAUUUCCUACGAGAAGCUUGCUGCAGAUGGUUUUCCUGAUGUGAACUUGGCUGUUCUCAUCGGAGGAGGGGCUCGGGCCCCACUGUCACUGGCAACGGCUGCUGUUUUCUCAUCAGGGGAGCUCUGGUCUUCACCGUGAGCAUCCCUUCCUGGCUCCAGUGUGGCUUCCUCAGCCUGGUGGCACAGAUCCUUCAUCUCACCGGCGCAGGUUUUCUGGCUUCUACCACUGGCCUUUGGGCCUUCCAGGUGCAGAUCCUUAAUAAGGACAAGCAGGAGAGAUUGCCGUGGGCUCUAGGCCACUAGCUGGACUCAAGGAGGACACUGCCUUUAGCUGGACUUGUGUGGGAAACUGCUGGGAUCCGGUCCCUUGGCUGAGUCCUUUGGGCUUCUAGUGUGUGGUUAAUCUCUUGCACUCCUUUGCAUUUGACUGUU